rnacentral:misc_RNA from 1 species
AACCGCCUACUGCGGACCCGCACGGUGGGUGGUGUGGGGGCUGGGAGUUAAAAGCUCCCAGCUACCCGAU